UGGGGAAUAUUGCACAAUGGGGGGAACCCUGAUGCAGCGACGCCGCGUGAGCGAAGAAGUAUUUCGGUAUGUAAAGCUCUGUCAGCAGGGAAGAAAAAUGACGGUACCUGACCAAGAAGCACCGGCUAAAUACGUGCCAGCAGCCGCGGUAAUACGUAUGGUGCAAGCGUUAUCCGGAUUUACUGGGUGUAAAGGGAGCGCAGGCGGCGCGUUAAGUCUGAUGUGAAAACCCGCAGCUCAACUGCGGGAGUGCAUUGGAAACUGGCGUGCUUGAGUGCCGGAGGGGCAAGCGGAAUUCCUAGUGUAGCGGUGAAAUGCGUAGAUAUUAGGAGGAACACCAGUGGCGAAGGCGGCCUGCUGGACGGUAACUGACGCUGAGGCUCGAAAGCGUGGGGAGCAAACAGG
rnacentral:rRNA from 1 species